GAGUUUGAUUAUGGCUCAGGACGAACGCUGGCGGCGUGCUUAACACAUGCAAGUCGAGCGAUGAAGUUUCUUCGGAAAUGGAUUAGCGGCGAACGGGUGAGGAACACGUGAAGAAUCUGCCCUCCACUUUGGGAUAACACAGGGAAACCUGUGCUAAUACCGAAUAUUGAAACAUAAGUGGCAUCACUGAGUUUUGAAAGAAUUUCGGUGGAGGAUGACUUCGCGGCCUAUCAGCUAGUUGGUGAGGUAAUGGCUCACCAAGGCAACGACGGGUAGCCGGCCUGAGAGGGCGACCGGCCACACUGGGACUGAGACACGGCCCAGACUCCUACGGGAGGCAGCAGUGGGGAAUAUUGGGCAAUGGAGGAAACUCUGACCCAGCGACGCCGCGUGCGGGAUGAAGGCCUUCGGGUUGUAAACCGCUUUCAGUAGGGAAGAAGCGAAAGUGACGGUACCUACAAAAGAAGCACCGGCUAACUAUGUGCCAGCAGCCGCGGUAAUACAUAGGGUG
rnacentral:rRNA from 1 species